GGUUCGAAUCCUGCACGACCCACCAAUUUAACAUCAAACUCAGAUGUUGAGCGUGAAGGAUAACGUUGCGUCAGCAACGGCCCGAAGGGCGAGCGAAGCGAGUCAUCCUGCACGACCCACCA
rnacentral:sRNA from 1 species